rnacentral:rRNA from 1 species
AGAGUUUGAUCAUGGCUCAGGACGAACGCUGGCGGCGUGCUUAACACAUGCAAGUCAAGGGGGCUCGCAAGGGCAACCGGCGAACGGGUGCGUAACACGUGAGCAACCUGCCUUCGAGUGGGGAAUAGCCGGCCCAACGGCCGGGUAAUACCGCAUACGCUCUUCUGGGGGCAUCCCUGGGGGAGGAAACGUUUACGGCUCGGAGAGGGGCUCGCGGCCUAUCAGCUAGUUGGUGGGGUCACGGCUUACCAAGGCGACGACGGGUAGCUGGUCUGAGAGGAUGGCCAGCCACAUUGGGACUGAGAAACGGCCCAGACUCCUACGGGAGGCAGCAGUGGGGAAUCUUGCGCAAUGGCCGAGAGGCUGACGCAGCGACGCCGCGUGGGGGAUGACGCAUUUCGGUGUGUAAACCCCUGUUGCUCGGGACGAACGAUCCUUUUCGAGGGAUGUGACGGUACCGAGGAGAGAC